AAGUUGGGUAUACGUGGCAGAAUACCCCGUUCCUGACCAAUGCCGCUGAGUAUCUGUAAAAGAAAAUUGUCAACUCACCUUAAAUAGAAACGAGAAACUGCCCAUGAAAACGCCCAGUUGCAGGGUGUUUCUAUUGAAGAUUUGCUUGCGCCACAGCAUCUUGCCUUGAAACACGCUCUUUAUAUUCAUCACCAGUUUGAGAGCCACUUGCAGAGCGACGCCGCCGGCAAAGGGACGCAAGCCACCAACAAUGGCAUUACUGAUACAGCUGGACUUGUGGCGGCAGCUGUCAUUUCUGCCGCGGAUUAGAUUGGUGUAAAUGCGCACCCAAUCGGCGGCGGUGGUAAAAUUAACUGUGGGUCGCAGCCGCGAAGGAGCUGGCUGCUCACCGGGUAGCAUGUGCUCAAUCUUGACAAUCGGACCGGCCUCAUCCUUGCCCACAAAAAUGCGCAAAAUGUUGAAGAUGGAGUCAUCGGUGGCGCUCAAGCGAUACAGAUACAGCAGUGCGGACAUGCUGCACGCAAAUAUCAAUGUUUGUCCAUGGGGAAUGGGAUGCACCCAGUUGCGUGCCUCGGCCAUUUUCCAGAGUGCUUCAGUGGCCACGUUGGCAACAUAGAGUGUCAGCAGUGGACGACGCGCCGGACGCUCGACCAAAAUGGCCGUGAGCGACGAGAAAAAAGAGGGCACGAACGCAACGGUGCUGAAGUAGUAGCGUCCCAACAGAUUGCGCAACAGACAAUUGUACAGGAUGAAAGUGUAGGCAUUCGUCACCAGAAAUGCGGUCGAUUGAAGAAUGCCCAGAAGAGUGCGUCGCAGAUCCUGCAGCGUUGGUACACGAUGUCGCAUUAGCAGCGAGAAUGCAUACACUAUGGUGUAGACACGUAGACAGUAUGGCGUGGCCGAAAGCAAUAUGCCAGCUGUGGCAUUUACACAUUUGUCCGUCCAGGGAUGCUGAAACUCCUGGCACGAAAUGCGCAGCGGAUCAAGCAGCUUGCUUUGUGCACCCAUUAUCGAAAUAAAGCGACUGUAAUGUGAAUGCACAAAACAUUUAUUAGUUAAGCUUAUUAAGCUUGAAAUCAGUUCCAGUGUCAAGGCUAGAAGUCCAAACCUUAGACUUUAAUCUUAUCUAAAAACAGAGGCUAUUGGCUUCACUUUCGAUUGCAAUCAACCACACUAAAAAUAGCAGCAAACUUAAGUCAAACAUCGAUUAAGAAUGUAUGUAUAUAAAUAUCUGUUUACUAUUUUACAGUAUAUAAUUACUUGGCGUUAUCAGCGGGUCAAGUACGCAACUGAUAAAACGAACAAUAAACUCUUGCAUCUCACUGGGAGCUAUUUCAACAACAAAAAAAAGGCUGGUCUAGUUUAUACUUACACGAAUUUGAAUAUGGAGAGAAAACCAGUUGUUGCCCAAUCGCAGUUAUAUGUUUAACUAAAGCUUGUUUUAAAUCAGAUCUCUAAAAUGCUUUGUACUCAACUGGGUAAUAUAAAUAAAUACUAGAUGUCAAA